AAAAAUCUCUAUCUCUGGACAGAACUUUGUUCCUGUAUAUUCAAGUCAGGAUUAAUAACAUUUCUGUGAUGCCCCACAUACAUUGUUCAAGGCUACCAAGGCAGAGUCGGAAAGUGUUUUAUCAAUAACAAGAUUGCCUCUAUCUGCCUUUCUUUGUGGCCGUGAGCAAGUUUCUUGAACGAACCCUGUAAGUUCUGUAAUACCUAGAUCGUUCUCUUUCUGGCUCCCUUCUGCCACCACCCUCACCCAUUUCCUCUUUCUGGCCCUGUCUUUCUCAUGCUCAGUGACUGUGAUUUUAGGCCACCCAAGACACGUGCAGUGAGCUCCCUGGGGCGGCCUGAUGCUCUCCUUAGCUGUAACAACAGCCCUGGGCUGGAGGCCAAGCUCCGAUCCCCGAUCCCCCGUGCUAGAUCCCCGAGCUAUGGAGAGGCUGCUGCGCUUUGUAGCAAGGACUGGGACUCUCGAGGAGCGUUGGGUGUGGCACUAAGAUACAGACACCACCACACUGGAAGAGUUUGUGGAGUUGUGCAUAGACGAGCAUUUCUUUUAAAAAUAGCCCACAGCUUCCUCCUGCAGCUUGGCCCCCUCCUCCUCAUUCAGAUUCUGCUGCAGUCUGUAAUCAAACACGAGUGAAAGCAGGUCUACCUAACCUUGAGAUAAAAGCUUUCUUAAAAAAGAAAAGGUAGUAUUAAAAACUGAAUGCUCUCCAGAAAAAUGGAAAUAAAAGACGAAGCACUAAUAACAGCAAUGAAAAUAAAAAUAACAGCGAAGUAGUUGAACAUUUACUCUGUACCUGGUGUCUCACUAAACUCUUCACGUGCAAUAGCUCACUUCAUCCUUUCAGGAACCUCACGGGGUUUAGGCUAGUAUUUCCCUAAUGUGCACGUGAGGAAACUCAGUCAUCAAGAGGGUAAAUCAUUUCCCCAAGAGGUACGACUUACAGGUAGCAGA